CCCCUCUCAGGGUCACACCUGGAGAGUUUCCAGUACUCUACCAGUUUCGGCAAUGGGAGGAAGAGUCAAGCAGAGGCCUACCCAUUCCAUUCCUAGCUGGGGCAGUGGCUAGCGAGUGGGAGGCCACCUACUCCAAGU